CACUGCUCCUCCCCUCCUGUGAGUUUUGGGGCCUCCCUGUCCCUUUGCUUCCUUCCACAGGAUGAAGAUAAACAGGGAGUCUCCUAAGUCUUACCUCUCCUCUGUGGGUAGCUGCUGCUGCUGUUUCGCGACCCAUGCAGUAGGGACUGGAAGGAGCACCAGAACUCCAGUCUCCACUGAAAGUCUACGUUGACUUGCAAUAGUUGAGGAUCUGGCUCAAAGAAUAAGUGGCAGACCUGGGAAAACAGGCCAGGAAUAGAGCGGGCUGCAUCUCCGAAUUUGUUUCAUGGAUACAGUCCAAACAGCGCUCCUCCUCGUUCAGCAUGUGGUCCAGCUGCUCGCUGCCAGCCUUCAGCUCCACUUGAACAGGUACGGCUGUCAUUGAAAGGGUGACUUGGAGGUG